UAUUGAAAUUAAAUUAAAUUAAAAAAAAAAUCAUCGUUACAAAAAUACACGUUUCACUCACGUUUUCAAAAAAAAAUAUCAAUCGAUUAACAUCCUUCGAUUCUUCCGAAUCUUUCUGAGAUCUGAAUCUCCAUCCACCUUUAUCCGAAUAGCCAAUCGUUUAUCUCGUUUCUCCUCCUCUUUCGCGCCAUAAAAGAAAAGCGGUCGGUGUCAAAUGUCUCGACACAGAUCGAAAAAUACGGUGUGCGCGUAUUUUCUCUCGCGAGGGUGGGGGAAGAAAGGCGGGGGGACGUCCAUUAAGGAGGUGAGAAGUACAGAAGUAAAGAUUACGCUGGUGGCAUUCGUUUCGCCCGCUAUUUUCCUCGUUGCGUGGAGAGAGGUGGGGGGAGCGGCGAUGGGGAGGGGGAAGAGAGGUGAGAGGCAGACAGGACAGCCGCUUAUCGCGGCAAUAAAAAGCAUCGAGCAAGAUUGGCAUGUUGCCUGCCUGCAAUCUUUUCCACUCUUUAAGCAUAUUUGGAUGCGGCACCGGCACCCAGAUAGCGCCACUGAAAUACGCUCAUCCUCGAGGAACGGCAUCCGCACAAGAAUCGUACAUGAUCGUGCGUCGUCGAAGGGUGGUUAAUUUGCAUCGAGCAUGGUUGAAAAACGGUUUUAUUGAAGUGCGUCUUUAACGAGAUCAGAGACAUCCUCGUGACGACCCCGCGAGGAUCAGGUUGCGACGUGCGCACGACGACAACAACAACGACAACAACACAACACGAGGGAGGAGCUGUGUGCGCAUCCGUGUGUUUGAGCAUCUCCAAGCAUCUACGCGUCGCGUGCACGUCGAUAAAAUACACGGUUGAUACAGCGCACAUCUGUCGAUGCUCCCAAAACGGUGGAGAAAGAGAGGCGAGCCUUGGAUCCUCGACUGUUUCCGUAUUGUCUGUAAUCGUAAACCGACCCAUCUAUCCAUCCAUCCCUCGCCCCCGUCUCUUUCGUACGUCUCUCUCGCUCUCUCUCCGCUCAGACGAGAUGUAAAUCCUUAUUCGAAGGCGAGCGAUUAAAGAUCGUAGGUGUGAAGGAAGGGGAGAUUUCGAGCGCUCUUUCUCUCUCUUUCUUAGUCGCAAACCGGUGGAAAAAUAAUUUCGAGGUUAGAAAACGUUUGAAUAUCUAAUUUUACUUUUUCUAAUCUAUUUUUAAAUAUAUGUUCCGUUAUGUCUUAAAUGUAAUAAAAUAUAGUAUAGGUUAAAAUACAUGGAAAAAGAAUUCGAAAGUUUUGAUCAAAACAAUUCUUGCAAUUACUGUAUAUUUGAAGUAUAAAUUGUAAAUGUCAGAGGCGAGAAAAGUAAUUGUUCGAAUGGAAUGGAAAUUCGAUGUAAGUCGCGAAAAUAAUUUUGAGGUUAGAAAAUGCUUGAAUUUUCUAACCAUCUUAAAUAUAGUCCAUAUAUAUUCCAUUAUAUAUAUAAUAUAUCUUAAAUAUAAUAAAAUAUAGUAUAGUAUAGGAUCUUGCAAUUACUGUAUAUUUGAAAUAUAAAUUGUAGAAAAAUAAUUCUUCUGGAAUGGAAAUUCGAUGUAAGUAGAGAGCCUCGAAAAAAUAAUUUUGAGGUUGGAAAAUGUUUGAAUUUUCUAAUCAUCUUAAAUACAAUAUAUGUUCCAUUAUAUAUAAUAUAUCUUAGACAUAAUAAAAUAUAAUAUAGGAUAAAAUAUGUGGAAAAAGAAUUCGAAAGCUUUUGAUCAAAACAAUUCUUGCAAUUACUGUAUAUUUGAAGUAUAAAUUGUAAAUGUCAGAGGCGAGAAAAAUAAUUCUUCUGGAAUGGAAAUUCGAUGUAAGUCGCGA